rnacentral:tRNA from 1 species
GUGCUCGUGGCUCAACUGGAUAGAGCGUCUGAUUACGGAUCAGAAGGUUGGGGGUUCAAAUCCUCCCGAGCACG